UCAAAAAUCAACGAGAUCAAUCUGUUAGCUGAGAAUUUCCAAGUUAUCAUAGCUUGAACCCACAACUUGCUACCUUGCACCAACCUAUUCCCUUUUACUUGUCGAUACCGACUUACUGCAACCAAGAUAUCAUACCAUCGUUGUGAUAUCAUGCCAUGGUCGAUGCGACCGGGUAAAAUAUUCAUUGUGAAAACACCAUAUUUCUCCAUCUCUAUAGAAAAUGACAACCGGCUGCGCAUAGAACUGACCACUCAAUGGAUUCAUCGAGUUCAAAAUUUUAUGUAGAUAAAAAAUUUCGGUUUACACUUCAACCGGUUGAACCAUCAAGUUCAAUUUUUAAACCAUUGGUUUAUACAACCAAACUCGUUCAAAAGGAAACUCAUACUGAUUUAUUUGUUCAAGGUAAAAGACUAGUAUGAGCAUUAAGCAAGCAAAGCACUUAAUUACACAGCUUUCCAAGAAGAGAGUGGCAGAGUAUCAGAAUUCUUCCAUGUACUUAUAUCUUCCCUAUAUCUACCACCCUUAACAGCAUCUGCUAAAGACUCAAGUUCUGCUAUUCUUCUGGUGUUAGUUUCACAGACAAAGCUCCAAUGUUUUGAUUAAAGUUCUCAAUUUUGGUGGUUCCAGGUAUCGGGCACACGUCGUUUCCUUGGUGAUGAAGCCAGGCUAGUGCAAGCUGAGAUGGAUACAUCCCUUCUUUGUAGCCAAUUCAUUAACUUUGUCAAAUAUAGUCUGAUUCUGCUGCAGGUUUUCAGUUUGAAAUCGAGGCAAAUGCUGCAACAAAUUUACAUAUAA
rnacentral:lncRNA from 1 species